UACGUAGGGGGCAAGCGUUGUCCGGAUUUAUUGGGCGUAAAGAGCUCGUAGGUGGUUCGGUAAGUCGGAUGUGAAAUCUCCAGGCUCAACCUGGAGGGGUCAUUCGAUACUGCCGUGACUAGAGGUCGGUAGGGGAGUGUGGAAUUCCUGGUGGAGCGGUGAAAUGCGCAGAUAUCAGGAGGAACACCCGUAGCGAAGGCGGCACUCUGGGCCGAUACUGACACUGAGGAGCGAAAGCGUGGGGAGCGAACAGG
rnacentral:rRNA from 3 species